rnacentral:rRNA from 1 species
GACGAACGCUGGCGGCGUGCUUAACACAUGCAAGUCGAACGGAAAGGCCCUGCUUUUGUGGGGUGCUCGAGUGGCGAACGGGUGAGUAACACGUGAGUAACCUGCCCUUGACUUUGGGAUAACUUCAGGAAACUGGGGCUAAUACCGGAUAGGAGCUCCUGCUGCAUGGUGGGGGUUGGAAAGUUUCGGCGGUUGGGGAUGGACUCGCGGCUUAUCAGCUUGUUGGUGGGGUAGUGGCUUACCAAGGCUUUGACGGGUAGCCGGCCUGCGAGGGUGACCGGCCACAUUGGGACUGAGAUACGGCCCAGACUCCUACGGGAGGCAGCAGUGGUGAAUAUUGCACAAUGGGCGGAAGCCUGAUGCAGCAACGCCGCGUGCGGGAUGACGGCCUUCGGGUUGUAAACCGCUUUCGCCUGUGACGAAGCGUGAGUGACGGUAAUGGGUAAAGAAGCACCGGCUAACUACGUG